GAUGAAGAACAUAGCGAAAUGCGAUAAGUAAUGUGAAUUGCAGAAUUCAGUGAAUCAUCGAAUCUUUGAACGCACAUUGCGCCCCUUGGUAUUCCGAGGGGCAUGCCUGUUCGAGCGUCAUUACACCACUCAAGCACUGCUUGGUAUUGGGCAUCGUCCGUCGAAAGGCGGGCGUGCCUCGAAGACCUCGGCGGGGUUUCUCCAACUUCGGGCGUAGUAGAGUUAAAUCGAACGUCUUAUAAGCUUGGUGGGACUCCAUUGCCGUUAAACCUUUUAUUUUCUAGGUUGACCUCGGAUCAGGUAGGGAUACCCGCUGAACUUAAGCAUAUCAAUAAGCGGAGGA
rnacentral:misc_RNA from 1 species